AUGACUUUGAUAUCCGUCCUCAUCUGGACUCUCCUCUGCUGCUGCUUCACAGAGUCCAGAGGCCAGAUCACAGUGUCUCAGCCUGCAACAGUGAGAUCUACUCUGGGAGGAUCUGCAACCAUCAACUGUAGGGUCAGUCAAGAUGUUCGUGUUUGGAGCAACUAUCACCUUUUAGCCUGGUACCAACAGAGAGAUGGAGAAACUCCUAAACUUCUCAUUUACUAUGCUACCACUCGAGCAUCAGGGAUUCAAGGUCGUUUUACAGGCAGUGGAUCAAACUCUGACUUCACUCUGACCAUCAGUGGAGUUCAGGCUGAUGAUGCAGCAAUUUAUUACUGUCAGAGUGAUCAUUACAUCAACAGUCAGUAUGUGUUCACACAGUGA